rnacentral:rRNA from 1 species
UCGAGCGGAUGAAGAGAGCUUGCUCUCUGAUUCAGCGGCGGACGGGUGAGUAAUGCCUAGGAAUCUGCCUAUUAGUGGGGGACAACGUUUCGAAAGGAACGCUAAUACCGCAUACGUCCUACGGGAGAAAGCAGGGGACCUUCGGGCCUUGCGCUAAUAGAUGAGCCUAGGUCGGAUUAGCUAGUUGGUGAGGUAAAGGCUCACCAAGGCGACGAUCCGUAACUGGUCUGAGAGGAUGAUCAGUCACACUGGAACUGAGACACGGUCCAGACUCCUACGGGAGGCAGCAGUGGGGAAUAUUGGACAAUGGGCGAAAGCCUGAUCCAGCCAUGCCGCGUGUGUGAAGAAGGUCUUCGGAUUGUAAAGCACUUUAAGUUGGGAGGAAGGGCAGUAAGUUAAUACCUUGCUGUUUUGACGUUACCGACAGAAUAAGCACCGGCUAACUUCGUGCCAGCAGCCGCGGUAAUACGAAGGGUGCAAGCGUUAAUCGGAAUUACUGGGCGUAAAGCGCGCGUAGGUGGUUCGUUAAGUUGGAUGUGAAAGCCCCGGGCUCAACCUGGGAACUGCAUCCAAAACUGGCGAGCUAGAGUAUGGCAGAGGGU